CCACCAUACUAAGUACUAGUGCCGCAGGAGUUUUACUUUUUUAAGUCCCCCUGCUGUUCGAGUGCUUAACAUUGUGG
rnacentral:pre_miRNA from 1 species